GUCAGUUUGCAGAGAAAGGGGGGCCUGGGCAGAUGACGCAAGAGGUGCCCAUUACAUCCCUCUAGAGGAGUCUGUAGCUUUAGGGGAAGACAGAGCCACAAGAUGGAAGGAGCUUGGAUGUCUGAACUAUUCCAUGGAGAAAAGCUGCAGCCAACGAAGAACACCUGCAAUGGACUCUUAACCUGGGGGUGACGACAACCACUGAAAUAUGCUGCAUCUUAGUCCAGGGAUUUUUAAAGUGUGGUUCCUGGAAGAGCUGGAUCAGAGUCAUCUGUGUUGAUGGUUUAACAUAAAGAUUUUCGAGCCCCAAGACUCAAGUAGGACAAGGAAUUUGAAUUUUUAAGCAGCUCACCUGACUUGUCUGUCCUCUAAUGUCUGAAGACAUCUGACCUCUGCUCUUUCAGUAAAAGCAACAAUGGUUUUAUGAGCAUUGUCGUCACAUCUCUCCACUCAAGGGAUCCUUCUCAUUUCUCCCAGCUGAGGUCACCCACAGCUGCUGCUUCUAACUGCUGGCUUCCAGCCUGCUGUCUGCCAGCUGGCUCUACCCUCUCCUAUAACACGGCAGAGAGUAGCUGUGGUCUCCUGCGUGCUCACCCUCUGCUCCCUUGGUCCUGCUCCAUGCUUUGGUCCUGCACUUAAAUUUUACAAGCAUACUCUCUUUCUCUUAAGAUGAAGGAGCUGAGGCUGGAGAAGUUAAGAGACCCCUGCUAGAUAGGAAGGCACGUGAGAAGUAUACUGCUCUGUCUCCUGUGGAGUAAAAAGACUUUGGCGUUCUCAGAAGAAAACCAAAUGAGAUCACACGAAUGAGACUGCUGUUUCCUUCCUAGCAUCUCUCGGAAUGGCUGAAAAUAUGACACUUGACAGUCCUUUGUACCGGACCCAUCUACGUGGCUCCCCUGGUAAAAAAUCCUGAGUUGUAAUUUAUGGCAAACAUUUCUUCAAGCUCCUGCUCUUGGAAUGGAAUACAUGAAUGUGAAUUCCACCAAAGAUAGUAAUG
rnacentral:lncRNA from 10 species